AUGACUCAAUAUUCUGGACAAAAACGGACGAAUGUAACUAAGGCUGGGAAUGUCAAUACAUUCAAACUAGCAAGGGCAAUGAUCACAAGUCAGUCAUAACUUGGCUGAUAGAUACACUAGCCUAUUUAUGCAGCAAGCUAAAAACACAGAGCCUAACGUACGCUAGAUGGCUGGCUAGCUAGCUAGCUGCUAGGAGGAUGUCAUGCCAUUGGAGGAGUGGAGCACUCUCGUCUGAAUGUGCCAGAGCGCAGAAUAACUGAGGAAUUUACAAACGAGCAACACCUGGCAGUCCUAUGGAGCUCCUGGAGCUGAAGAUUAUGUAGACCUAUGACAAUUGUGCCUUUCUUGUGACACUGAAAAUUAAAAUAAAUUGUUGCAUCGUGA